UGUCGUCAGCUCGUGUCGUGAGAUGUUGGGUUAAGUCCCGUAACGAGCGCAACCCCUAUCCCUAGUUGCUAGCAGUUCGGCUGAGAACUCUAGGGAGACUGCCGGUGACAAACCGGAGGAAGGUGGGGAUGACGUCAAGUCAGUAUGGCCCUUACGGCCAGGGCUGCACACGUACUACAAUGCCUAAUACAAUGGGACGCAAUACCGUGAGGUGGAGCAAAUCCUUAAAAUUGGGCCCAGUUCGGAUUGUAGUCUGCAACUCGACUACAUGAAGCCGGAAUCGCUAGUAAUGGGGCAUCAGCUACGGCCCCGUGAAUACGUUCCCGGGCCUUGUACACACCGCCCGUCACAUCAUGGGAGUUG
rnacentral:rRNA from 1 species